AUUGAACGCUGGCGGCAGGCCUAACACAUGCAAGUCGAGCGGAUGAAGGGAGCUUGCUCCUGGAUUCAGCGGCGGACGGGUGAGUAAUGCCUAGGAAUCUGCCUGGUAGUGGGGGAUAACGUCCGGAAACGGGCGCUAAUACCGCAUACGUCCUGAGGGAGAAAGUGGGGGAUCUUCGGACCUCACGCUAUCAGAUGAGCCUAGGUCGGAUUAGCUAGUUGGUGGGGUAAAGGCCUACCAAGGCGACGAUCCGUAACUGGUCUGAGGGGAUGAUCAGUCACACUGGAACUGAGACACGGUCCAGACUCCUACGGGAGCCAGCAGUGGGGAAUAUUGGACAAUGGGCGAAAGCCUGAUCCAGCCAUGCCGCGUGUGUGAAGAAGGUCUUCGGAUUGUAAAGCACUUUAAGUUGGGAGGAAGGGCAGUAAGUUAAUACCUUGCUGUUUUGACGUUACCAACAGAAUAAGCACCGGCUAACUUCGUG
rnacentral:rRNA from 1 species